rnacentral:sRNA from 1 species
UGACAUUCACUUCUCUGACAGCAACGUC